CACUAGUGAUUGAGUUUGAUCCUGGCUCAGGAUGAACGCUGGCGGCAUGCCUAAUACAUGCAAGUCGAACGGACUUGAGGAGAGCUUGCUUUCCGCAAGUCAGUGGCGAACGGGUGAGUAACACGUAGGCAACCUGCCCAUGUACCCGGGAUAACAGACGGAAACGACUGCUAAAACCGGAUAGGUAAGAGGGAGGCAUCUUCCGCUUAUCAAAGCACCCAAGGGUGUGGACAUGGAUGGGCCUGCGGCGCAUUAGCCGGUUGGCGGGGUAACGGCCCACCAAAGCAAUGAUGCGUAGCCGACCUGAGAGGGCGAACGGCCACAUUGGGACUGAGACACGGCCCAAACUCCUACGGGAGGCAGCAGUAGGGAAUUUUCGUCAAUGGAGGGAACUCUGAACGAGCAAUGCCGCGUGAGUGAAGAAGGUCUUCGGAUCGUAAAGCUCUGUUGCAAGAGAAAAACGACAAGCACAGGGAAUGGUGAUUGAGUGAUGGUAUCUUGCGAGGAAGCCACGGCUAACUACGUGCCAGCAGCCGCGGUAAUACGUAGGUGGCGAGCGUUAUCCGGAAUGAUUGGGCGUAAAGGGUGCGCAGGCGGCGCAUUAAGUUUGAAGUAAAAGGUAGCGGCUCAACCGCUGCAAGCUUC
rnacentral:rRNA from 1 species